CACACGACUCUCGGCAACGGAUAUCUCGGCUCUCGCAUCCAUGAAGAACGUAGCGAAAUGCGAUACCUGGUGUGAAUUGCAGAAUCCCGCGAACCAUCGAGUCUUUGAACGCAAGUUGCGCCCGAGGCCACUCGGCCGAGGGCACGCCUGCCUGGGCGUCACGC
rnacentral:rRNA from 1 species